UGGACCAGGAAGUAACAUACGACAGUCGUUCG
rnacentral:rRNA from 1 species